GACGUAGGGGGCCAGCGUUGUUCGGAAUUACUGGGUGUAAAGGGUUCGUAGGCGGUGCGGCAAGUCGGGAGUGAAAUCUCUGGGCUUAACCCAGAGGCUGCUUCCGAAACUGCUGUGCUUGAGUGUGGGAGAGGCGCGUGGAAUUGCAGGUGUAGCGGUGAAAUGCGUAGAUAUCUGCAGGAACACCCGUGGCGAAAGCGGCGCGCUGGACCACUACUGACGCUGAGGAACGAAAGCCAGGGGAGCAAACAGG
rnacentral:rRNA from 1 species